GGGGAACCCAAAGCAUCUGGAGAAUCCUUCUUGACGUGCCUUACUUGAUACCACAUUCAACCACAUACAACCCAAAACCUUAAGUCGCUUCCCCCUAAUAUCCCACUUAUGGAGUUCCACACUUGCAUAUUCCCAACAGAAAGAUAAGCUUCACUUUGAAACAAUAACCAGAAAUGUAAUAAAUCGUAACCGUUGAACAAAUUGGUACUGCAUGUGAUGCAU
rnacentral:misc_RNA from 1 species